UUAGAUUUAGUUUUCGUCUUAGUCAUUUUGACGAAAUGCUUCUUCGUUUUAGUCCCAUUUUAGUCAUUUCUAUCCUUGAUAGUUUUCGUCUAGUUUUAGUCGACGUAAAGGUGCCUUUUGAGGUUCGUGGUGUUCUUUCCCGACAGUUUGAAGCAUGAGGAAGCUGUGGCUCCACAACUGUCGUCUGUCUCGUCUCCCCGUCCCGUGUUUUAUUGUCACUUUUAUUUUAUUGUCACUUGGACUGUAUCUGAAGUAGGACCAAAAAUCAUCCCUCUUUUUUCGGCCACCGGGCACCGCUGCUGUGCCUGCCGCCACGGUGUGUGUGUGUGUGCGCGCCUCGUCCACCUGCCGCUCUGUGUAUGUGUAUGAGUGUGUGCGCGCAGCUGUGCGCGAGCGAGGCUUUUGGUGCGUGUGUGAUGGGGGCGUGACUGUUAGGACAAAAAAAAGCAUGUUUUGAAACUUUGUUCGUCCACCUAAUAACAAUUUAGUCUCGUC